AUUGAACGCUGGCGGCAGGCCUAACACAUGCAAGUCGAGCGAGCGGCGGACGGGUGAGUAAUGUCUGGGAAACUGCCUGAUGGAGGGGGAUAACUACUGGAAACGGUAGCUAAUACCGCAUACCAUCAGCUGUGCCCAGAUUGGAUUAGCUGGUAGGUGGGGUAACGGCUCACCUAGGCCACGAUCCCUAGCUGGCCUGAGAGGAUGACCAGCCACACUGGAACUGAGACACGGCCCAGACUCCUACGGGAGGCAGCAGUGGGGAAUCUUGCACAAUGGGCGAAAGUCUGACCCAGCCACGCCGCGUGAGUGAAGAAGGCCUUCGGGUCGUAAAGCACUGUCUGCGGGGAGGCGGUACCUGCCGAAGAAGCACCGGCUAACUCCGUGCCAGCAGCCGCGGUAAUUC
rnacentral:rRNA from 1 species